UGACAUGAAACAGGAAGUAAUAGUAUUGGCUGCAUACUAAAACUAUUUCCCUGAGACUUAUUUUCAUAUUGAUUCCGUUUUUCUGUUUGUGAUGAUGAAACGAGAAUCAAACUGCCGUCAGAAACAAAACGUUCUUCUGCUUCAGCGACUGAAACAAAAACUGUUCAUACAUGACGACACAUGAGAGGUUCUGAUUUUGUUCUGUGGAGAUCGUUCAAGAACUGAACACUAAAACUUUUCCACUUCGCCUCGUUUCUUAUGACGCACUUAUUUCUGCGCAUCCUCAGUCCAACCUACCAAAUGAGAAAACCCAGGAAGGAUCCAUCUAAACCAGAUAGCUACAGACCAAUCGCUCUUACAUCAAAUGUGUGCAAGUUAAUGGAACGUAUGAUAAUGGCAAGACUGUCCUUUGAACUGGAAAGAAAAGGGGCUUUAGCCAAUUACCAAAGUGGUUUCAGGACAGCUCAAAACACAACUGAUGCUAUUGUUAGACUUGAGAAUGUUGUUAGGAAAGCACAGGCCAAUAAAGAAUCUGUUUUGGCAGUGUUUUUUGACAUAGAAAAGGCAUAUGAUAUGUUGUGGAGGGAUGGGCUUUUAAUCAAGUUGCAUAAGUUGGGUAUUGGUGGCAGGACAUUCAGUUGGAUCCAAGACUUUUUAUCUGGUAGGAAGAUCCAAGUGCGAAUUGGGUCUACAAUUUCUAGUCAGUGCACGGUUGAGAAUGGGACGCCACAGGGCAGUGCGAUUAGUCCCCUGCUUUUUGUUAUAAUGAUCAAUGAUGUUUUUUCUGAUGUUCCUGAGGGUAUUGGGAGGUCUUUGUUUGCUGAUGAUGGUGUGUUAUGGAAAAAAGGAAGAAAUAUUGAGCACCUAGUGGGCAAGGUUCAGGAGGCUGUAAAUAUGGUGGUUGAGUGGGGAUUUGACUGGGGAUUCAGGUUUUCGGUGGAAAAAACAAAAAUGAUGUUCUUUACCAAAAGAACAGUGAGUGAGACUUUGACAUUGAAACUGUAUGACGAGGAAAUUGGGAAAGUGAGCUCUUUUAAGUACUUAGGUGUUGUGUUUGAUUCAAGACUGACAUGGAGGGAGCAUAUUGACCGGAUUGAAACCAAAUGUAAAAAAGUUGUUAAUGUUAUGAGGUGUGUAGCUGGGAGGGGUUGGGGAGCAAGCUCUUCUGCUUUGAAAAGACUUUACCAGGCAUUGAUUAGAUCUGUCUUUGAUUAUGGGUGUGUGGCAUAUGGUUCAGCAGCUCGUUCUGUGUUGAGACGUUUGGAUUUUUUGCAAUCGGAAGCCCUUAGAGUGUGCUGUGGAGCUUUUAAAACGUCUCCAGUCAGUGCCCUACAGGUGGAGAUGGGAGAAAUGCCCCUGGAUCUUAGGAGGAAGCAAGUAUCAGUGAAUUACUGGGUUCAUCUUGGUGGUCAUGGUGACGCACAUCCUACAAAGGAGGUACUUUUGGAGUGCUGGGAGUAUGGAAGAAGUCAGAAGGAUCAUUUUGGAAAGGUGGGGAAUCAGUGGGCUAAGGAGUGUCAUGUGUAUGAACUUAAAAUAUGUCCUGCAGUUGUGUUCCCUGUGGUUCCUCCAUGGUUAUUGGAGACCCCUCCUGUGGACUGGUACUUUCUGGAUCUGAAGAGAAAAUUGAAAGGAAGAGUCGAUCUUGUUUCAGCAUUUCAUUUUCACAGCUCGAAUGAAUACCCUGGGUAUGUUCAUGUGUUCACGGAUGGUGCUAAAAGUCCAGAUACUGGGAUUACAGGGUUUGGAAUAGCAGUUCCAUAAAAAAAAACUAUUGAAAUAAAAAGAUGCAAUUCAAAGGACUGGCAGUGUACACGGUUGAAAUGGUAGCAAUUUUGGUAGCAUUGCAAUGGGUAGAGUGUUCCAAAAUCAAGCAGGUGGUAGUAUGUUCUGACUCGGCAGCUGUUCUUUCAAGUCUACAAUCGUUUUGUUCAAAGACGAGGCAGGGCAUACUGUAUACUAUUCUGGAGACUAUAAGCAGAAUAAGGUGUUGUGGUGGCAAUGUUCACUUUCUUUGGUUGCCAGCUCAUGUAGGGAUCAGUGGAAAUGAAAAAGUGGAUGGUUUGAAAAAAAGAGCGUUGACUAAAAAUAGGACUGAGAUGGCAAUUAAAAGCAGCGGAUCUGAAGCAAAAGGUAUUGUUUGGAGGCGGGUUGUUCAGGAGUGGCAGAAGUGGUGGGAUUCAGGGAGUAAGGAGAGGCAAUUGUAUCAUCUUAAGAAGGAGGUGGCAGGGUGUAGGUUGUAUAGGGGUAAUUGGAGAGAAGAGGUGGUCAUUACCAGGCUUAGACUGGGACAUUGUGCUUUAAAUAAAACACUACAGAUGAUAGGAGAACAUGAGACGGGGCUUUGUGGAGGAGGAGGAGACGGUAGAGCAUGUAAUACUGCGGUGCAAGGGUUAUGAUGUGGAGAGGAAAGUUCUGCAGAAUAGAUUGAAGGAGCGGGGAAUUUAAUCUGAAGAGUGUGUUGAAGGGUAGUAGGGCACAGGUGAGGGAACUGGUGGGGUUUCUGAAGGAUAUAGGUGUUUAUGUAAGAGUGUAGGUUUUUAUUUAUUUUUUUUUUUUAUACAAACGUAAACUCACUCUCUGACCCAUACUCCGGAACAGUAGGAGGCGGUAAUGCUCCUUUACGCUGGUUGCCAAACGCCGUUAAACACAAAGAAGAAGAAGAAGAAGAAGAAGAACCUACCAAACGUCACUCUAACGCGACGUCCUUAAGAGACACGGAAGAGUUUGAACCAGCAGUUUUAACUUUCUUUAAACCUUAAAUUUAACAUCGUGCAGUCAAGUGUUAAUCUUAAGGUCUAUUAUGAACUGAAAAUACCAACAGACACAGACAUUUAGAAUAAACUAAGUCAGAAACUGAGUCAGAUCAGCAGAAACAGAGAACCAGCACAUGUCUGCUGUAACUCUGCAGGCACUCUGCUCCACGCUGGUGUUUGUCCUGUUCGUCUCUGCAGACCCGAAAAACAUCUCAGCUGAGUUUGGACAGGAUGUGACUCUGACAUGUCGAGCUCCAAAUAACAACAAAAACAUCAUAGUUGUAGAGUGGAGCAGAGCUGACCUGGAGCCACAACAUGUCCUUUUGCAACGGAUUGGCCAGUUUGAUCCAGACAACCAGCAUCCAUCUUUUAAGAACCGGGUGGAUCUGCAGGACAGACAGAUGAAGGAUGGAGACGUGUCUUUGAUUCUGAAGAAUGUGAUGAUUAAUGACACUGGAACAUACGAGUGUCGUGUUCAGAGACAGAGAGAAAGUUUAAGUCUCAUCACCAGUGUCUACCUGAGUGUUGUUCCUCCAGAUCCAGCCCUGGCACAGCUUCAGCUUUGUCACUGAUUCCUGGACAUUGGUCUCCAGAAUCUGCUGAUACUGAGUGGAAUCCAUGUGUCCCUCAACUUUGACCAGAUUUCCAGUCCCUGCACUGGCCACACAGCCCCACAGCAUGAUGGAACCACCACCAUAUUUCACUGUCAGUCAGGAGGACACAAAGAAGAUAGAAGGAACAAAGAUGGAAGGAGGGAGGAUGGCUCUGUUAUACUGAUUGUUGGUCUGUCGGUUUCUGCUGUGCUGCUUGUUGCUGCUGUUGUUGGAUUUUUUAUCUACAGAAAACAUAAACAACAGCAGAGUCAGGAGACAUACCAGCCUCCUGUUGAACUACAGCCUGUCUCCUGCUGAGUCUCCUGCUGCUGUUCAGACUCUGUGUUGUCAGUGAAUAUUCAGGUACAGACAGAUGAUCUGAUCAUCCAGCAGACAGACAUCCAAUUUUGUAUUGAAACAAACACACUUCACAGGGAACUCAGAAAUUAAUCAACCAUAACAUUAAACUAUUGACAUUUUUUUUGCUAAGGAAUACAAGAAAAUCACUGUAAUUUAGCAUCUUAAUCAACCAACAGAUAAUAAUAUGAUUUAGUUAGUGUUUUUUAAAAGAAAUUCUGCUUUCAUUGUAAAAUAGCAAAUUUGAAAUGUCAUGGAUAACAAUAAUUAUACUUUAUCAUUAAAA